rnacentral:tRNA from 1 species
GGGCGAGUGGCGGAAUGGCAGACGCGACGGACUUAAAAUCCGUUGACCGCAAGGUUGUGAGGGUUCGACUCCCUCCUCGCCCACCA